GCCGCGGUGGUGGAACUGGCAGACACGCCAGCCUUAGGAGCUGGUGGGAUUUUCCCGUGUGGGUUCGACUCCCACCCGCGGCACCA
rnacentral:tRNA from 1 species